GCCGGGCAUGGUGUUGCAUGCCUGUAAUCCCAGCCACUCAGGAGGCUGGGGCAGGAGAAUCGCUUGAACCUAGGAUGUGGAGGUUGCAGUGAACCGAGAUCAUGCCACUGCACUCCAGCCUGGGUGAUAGAGCGAGACUCUGUCUCAA
rnacentral:SRP_RNA from 1 species